AAUGGGCGCAAGCCUGAUCCAGCCAUGCCGCGUGAGUGAUGAAGGCCUUAGGGUUGUAAAGCUCUUUCAGUCGUGAAGAUAAUGACGGUAACGACAGAAGAAGCCCCGGCUAACUCCGUGCCAGCAGCCGCGGUAAUACGGAGGGGGCUAGCGUUGUUCGGAAUCACUGGGCGUAAAGCGCACGUAGGCGGACUGAUCAGUUGGGGGUGAAAGCCCGGGGCUUAACCUCGGAACUGCCUUCAAUACUGUCAGUCUUGAGUUCGGGAGAGGUGAGUGGAAUUCCUAGUGUAGAGGUGAAAUUCGUAGAUAUUAGGAAGAACACCAGUGGCGAAGGCGGCUCACUGGCCGAUACUGACGCUGAGGUGCGAAAGCGUGGGGAGCAAACAGGAUU
rnacentral:rRNA from 1 species